rnacentral:rRNA from 1 species
UGGGGAAUUUUGCGCAAUGGGGGAAACCCUGACGCAGCGACGCCGCGUGAGCGAAGAAGGCCUUCGGGUCGUAAAGCUCAGUCAUUGGGGAUGAAAAGGACAGUACCCAAAGAGGAAGCCCCGGCUAACUACGUGCCAGCAGCCGCGGUAAUACGUAGGGGGCGAGCGUUGUCCGGAAUUACUGGGUGUAAAGGGCGUGUAGGCGGGGAUGCAAGUUACCGGUAAAAACCCGAGGCUCAACCACGGGCUUGCCGAUAAAACUGUAUCUCUUGAGUAUAGGAGAGGGAAGUGGAAUUUCCGGAGUAGCGGUGAAAUGCGUAGAUACCGGGAAGAACACCAGUGGCGAAGGCGGCUUCCUGGCCUAUCACUGACGCUGAGGCGCGAAAGCUAGGGUAGCGAACGGG